rnacentral:lncRNA from 1 species
GUUUUACUCUGUUGCCCAGGCUGGGGUGCAGGGGCAUGAACAUGGCUCACUGCACCCUUGACCUUCUGGGCUCAAGCGAUCCUCUUGCCUCAGGCUUCUGUUUAGCUGGGGCCACAGGCGGGCACCAAAAUGCCUGGCUAAUUUUUUUGUUUUUAUUUUGGUAGAGACGAGGUCUCACUUUGUUGCCCAUGCUGUUCUCAAACUUCUCGGCUCAAGUGAUCCUCCCACCUCGGCCUCCCAAAGUGCUGUGUUACAGGCAUAAGCCACCGCACCUGGUCUCUACUUUGUUCUUACUCUUCUUCCUGACUCUGUGAUCAGCUCUUUUUCCUCAUUGACAUCUCUUAUCACCAGCAGAGGCCUACCACUAGACACCAGUGGUUCUACUUCCCUGGUUGAGCCCUGGUAGAUACAGUUCCUGAGAACUUCAUGGAGCAGUUUCUGCACCAAACCUGCCCUCUCUACCUCUGGACCUUUACGUGGAAAAGAGAAGUCCGUAUUGGAAGCCUUGACUCUGGCCCAGACAUUUCUGCUGUACCUCAUGUAGGGUGAGCCCAGGACCUGCCACACUGUGCCAGCCUCGCCCAAGCCACCCUCCAGCCAGGACGCAGUCUUUCCUGACUCAGCAGGCUGAGGCACCUGAGGCUUUCAUUUUAAUUAUGAACCACUUCAAAGCCUUUCUGGAAGCAGUCUCUGCAAUAACCAACCUGAGUUCUCUCCUAAUGUGGGGAUUGUCCUGGAGCCCAGGCCUUCCAAGGCUCCUCCGCCCGCCAACAUCACCUACCUUAUCUUCCUCUUCAGCACAUCCCCAACAUUGUCUAAGCGGUAACUCACCUGAGCAAAGCACUUGACACGGAUUCAUUCAUUUAUUCCUCACAACAACCUGAUGAGAGCACUGAAUAACUUCAAAGGGGAAAAACAAUAACCUUUACAAUGGAUAGAUCUGGCAGGAACCAUGUUAACCAAGUGAUCAAAGGUAGCAUCACCAAUAAUGGGGCAAACCGACAUCCUGUGCUUCCCCAUUGAUGCGCCGAGAAGGACACAGCAUUGCUCAUGCAGCAACCUUGUCAAAAAUGCGUAAACGGAAUCUAAUCAUGAGAAAACUGCCAGACAGCCAAACUCUUCAGAAAUGUCAAUAUAAUGAAAGGCAACAAAGAUUGAGAAUAACUUUACCAGGUUAAAGAAAACUAAAAAGAUAUGACAACUGACUGCAACGCAGAAUCCUGGACCAGACCCUGGAUCUGGUCAAAAGAAAAAUGCUUUAAACGACAGUAUUGGGACAAAGGGUAAAAUUUGAAUGUGGAUCAUGUAAUAGAUGAAUAAUAUAUUAUAUCAAUGAUA